rnacentral:rRNA from 1 species
AAAAUUAUUAAAUGUUUAAAUUUAAUUAUCUGUUAUAUCUUAUUUAUUAGAAAUAACUUUACUUAUAGUAGUGUUUAAUGAAUUAAUAAUUGUUUCUUUAUAGAUUAUUUUACUGUGAAGGUAAAUUUAUAUUAUUUAAGAAGUAAACAUUAAUUGUUGUACCUUUUGUAUCAGGGUCUAUUAAUAUACAUUAAUUAUAUUAGGUUUCCCGAAAUUAAUAGAGAUAUUGAAAAUUGUUAUUUAAUAUGACAAAAUUAUUAAAUAAUUUUCAAUAGGGAUUAUAUGUUAUUCAAUAUUAAAUAUCUGGUUUUUUAAUAAUUGAAUUUAAUUCAGGAUUAAAUUAAAGUUUAUUAUAGAAAUUUAUUUAUAUUAAGUUGUUUAAUCUAAAUAUUAAGGGGAUAAGCUCUUAAUAUUUACUAUAAUUAUUAUUUUAUACAUUAAAUUAAGUAGGAUUAGAAAUUUCCAUCAAUUAUUUUGUUAUAAUUAAAUUUAAUUAUAUUUUUAUUUUAUUUUAAUUUAGAUUAUUAUUGAAAAUAAUUAUUUAAUAAAAGAAUAAUUGAUAUAAUGAUAGAAUUAGUAUAUUUUUAAAUUAAUAUAUAGUAACUUGGCAAAUGUAUUCUUCACCUGUUUAACAAAAACAUGUCUUAAUGUAGAAUAUAUUAAGUCUAACCUGCUCAAUGAUUUAUUAAAUUAAAUAGCCGCAGUAUUUUGACUGUGCGAAGGUAGCAUAAUCAUUUGUCUUUUAAUUGAAGGCUUGAAUGAAUGGUUGAAUGAGGGAAAUACUUUCUUUAUAUUAUCAUAGUAUAAUUUAAUUUUUUAGUUAAAAAGCUAAAAUAUAUAAGUGGGACGAGAAGACCCUAUAGAAUUUUACUUUAUUAUAAAUAAUUAUCAUUUUGGGUUUUAUUGAUUGUGUUUAAUAAUAAAGUUUUGUUGGGGUGACAGUGAGAUUUUUAUAACUCUCAUAAAUUAUAGAUUAAUUAUUAUUAUAAUUUAAGAUCCUAUUUUAAGGAUAUUUAGAUUAAAUUACCUUAGGGAUAACAGCGUUAUUUUUCCGGAGAGUUCAUAUCGAUGGAAAAGUUUGCGACCUCGAUGUUGGAUUAAAAUUAGAUUUAAGUGCAGCAGCUUAAUUUCUAGGUCUGUUCGACCUUUAAAAUUUUACAUGAUCUGAGUUCAGACCGGCGUGAGCCAGGUCGGUUUCUAUCUUUUUUUAAUUUAUAUAAAUUAGUACGAAAGGACCAUUUAUAUCAAAUAUUUUGUUUUAAUUUGAAGUAUUUUAA